AUUUGGUAAAGUAUAAAUCACAAUAGGCGUUGUUACUUACACAAGUUCUUUUCUAGAUGACAUCAGAGAUGUGACGUCACGAAGUGGUUAUGACGCAACAGAAGAACCCGCUUCGAAGGUUGUUUGUUUUUGACACAAUCUUUAUUAUUCAAAACAGUAUUUUUUUAAUAUUUCAGAACAUGUGUGUGACGGCACAGAGGAAAAAUCGGAAAUCAAGGAAAAGGUAAGUGUGACGUCAUUAUAUAAACUAUGACAAACAGCGCGUAUGCUGCCGAAGAACAGCGCAAGAAGAAUAGCAAAGAGGUAGACGACGAUAAGGAUGCGGUUUCAGGUUUUGCUUAGGCUUGGGAAUUGUGUGGUGUUGUGGUGUGGUUGCUGGAGCACUCUUACAGUGUUGUCGGAUUUGUGUUUGUGUCUCAUUUCAACUGGACCUAAUGUGGCCAGUCUUUUUGUUAGUCACUACUUUAGUGCAUUUUGCAUGUCACUGAAAUAAAUGCAAUAAAACUAUGGCAAACAUCUUGCUGGAUCGGAUUUUGUUGUUGUACACGUCAUUAUGUGCUUCUUCUGCAAAGGUCGAAUCUUUUAAUGAUUCUGCAUUGUCCUAAUUACUUGAUAAGAACGACAUGUUGGUACACAAAUACUCGAGUAAUAUUCACGCGCAUUAUAAUAUACACGCAGUAAACUUUCAAAUUUAAUAUCCUUUAUUUUUAUCAGUUAUUCGUCCCCGUUAACCUGUUGCCAUUU